GCAAUCGACCACAGCAUCAGGACUACAGGGCUUCCCGUUCGCUCAGCCGUACUUAAGCCUGUUGGCGAUGGAUUAGUAGUUGGGUUCGUGAGAACCAGCGAAUCCCCAUUGUUGAUUGUU
rfam:Exophiala spinifera strain CBS 89968 unplaced genomic scaffold supercont1.7, whole genome shotgun sequence.